GACAACACACAAAAACAAGCUCAUCAAGGCUUUCAUGAAAAAAAACUGCUAGGCUGCAGGACAAUACAUCAACGAAAAGUACUACUGCAAAUCUUUGUGUCAUGUGGCAUUUCACUAAUUGCCAUGUUUUCUUCCACCUGUGUGACCUGAACAAGUUGCACUUGUUAAUUGCGACUCAUUUAGUUUUGGUUUUUUUAAGUAGACCAAGGUGUAUGCCCUAUUGCCAUCUUUUGUUAGAUUUUCAAACCAAUUUUGCUUCAAGGUGUAUGACACACAAAAUAUAGGGAGCAGGAAACCAGGCAAUACACUUGUCUUCAUUUUCCACCAACCACCAACCUGAUAGGGUUGAAAGUAAAUACAUAAUCAGACAGUGGGCCAUAUUUUCGUGACCAAUGGACAUAAAUCCGGCGCGGCAGUCGGUGCAACUGUGCGGCAGGGGCGGGUCAGACAGGUGUUGGUCAUUUCAUAGACCAGCGCAGCUCGGCAGAUCCGAAAGUGGGCGGACCGUGCCAGUGUGGGUGUGUUCACCGCCGACUUAAUUCGCCACCAAUCAAAGUGGCUGCUCGCAUUCCCUUUAAAUGUAGCGCAAUGACAGUCUUGACAGAGACUGUGUUGGAAGGACGAUCUGUAAUCGCAGCGAUCCGUACGUGAGUGGAGCAUUGUGACUGCUCUUGGCCAGUAUAGCAACAAUGGCCACUUUAAAGGGGCGGUUCUUGGUGUCUUUGGUCUCGUAGGCAGCCACACAGCGGUACGUCUCGGUGACAAACGGCCGAGUGACAGCGAAACCUCCUCCGUCCCCAACUCUUCCUCCUCCUCCUAAUCCUCCUCCUCCCCCCAAGCUGACAUCUGACAGCAGGAUCAUGGCGCUGAGUGACGCACAAGUCAGCAUGUCAGUUGGUCUCUCCAUCGCCGUUGACGAAUCAUUGAGGAGAAAGCUACCUGUUCU